rnacentral:rRNA from 1 species
ACUCAAAGGAAUUGACGGGGGCCCGCACAAGCGGUGGAGUAUGUGGUUUAAUUCGAAGCAACGCGAAAAACCUUACCUGGCCUUGACAUCCCUCGAUAGCUGCAGAGAUGCAGUUUUGACUUCGGUCACGGGGAGACAGGUGCUGCAUGGCUGUCGUCAGCUCGUGUUGUGAAAUGUUGGGUUAAGUCCCGCAACGAGCGCAACCCCUGUCCUUAGUUACCAGCAUUAAGUUGGGGACUCUAGGGAGACUGCCGGUGUUAAACCGGAGGAAGGCGGGGACGACGUCAAGUCCGCAUGGCCCUUACGGCCAGGGCUACACACGUACUACAAUGGCAGAAACAAACCGUUGCGAAGCCGCGAGGUGGAGCUAAUCGGAAAAACACUGUCCCAGUCCGGAUUGAAGUCUGCAACUCGACUUCAUGAAGUUGGAAUCGCUAGUAAUCGCAGAUCAGCACGCUGCGGUGAAUACGUUCCCGGGCCUUGUACACACCGCCCGU